rnacentral:rRNA from 1 species
UACAGAGGUCUCAAGCGUUGUUCGGAAUUAUUGGGCGUAAAGGGUGCGUAGGCGGUUCGGUCAGUUGGGUAUGAAAAGUCGAGGCUCAACCUCGAAAUUGCACCCAAUACUACCGGGCUAGAGUACUGCAUAGGAAGCUGGAACUUACGGUGUAGCAGUGAAAUGCGUAGAUAUCGUAAAGAAGACCAGAGGCGAAAGCGAGCUUCUAGGCAGUUACUGACGCUCAUGCACGAAAGCCAAGGUAGCAAACGGG